GACGAACGCUGGCGGCGUGCUUAAUACAUGCAAGUCGAACGGACAGGCCCUGCUCUUGUGGGGUGCUCGAGUGGCGAACGGGUGAGUAACACGUGUGUAUCCUGCCCUUGUCUUUGGGGUAACUUCUGGAAACUGGGGCUAAUACCCGAUAGGAGCUCCUGCUGCAUGGUGUUGGUUGGAAAGUUUCGGCGGUUGGGGAUGGACUCGCGGAUUAUCCGCUUGUUGGUGGGGUAGUGGCUUACCAAGGCUUUGACGGGUAGCCGGCCUGAGAGGGGGACCGGCCACAUUGGGACUGAGAUAGGGCGCAGACGCCUACGUUAGGCAGCAGUGGAGAAUAUUGCACAGUGGGCGGAAGCCAGAGACAACAGCGCCGCGUGCGGGAUGACGGCCUUCGGGGUGUAAACCGCUGUCGCCUGUAACGAAGCGGGAGUGACGGUAAUGAGUAAAAAAGCACCGGCUAACUACGUG
rnacentral:rRNA from 1 species